rnacentral:tRNA from 1 species
GCUUUCUUAGUUUAUAUUAAAAUUUCAUUUUGUGAUGAUGAAGAAUUUUUUUAAAAGUAGGCA